rnacentral:tRNA from 1 species
GCCGAAGUGGCGGAACUGGUAGACGCGCCUGCCUCAGGAGCAGGUGGCCGCAAGGCCAUGUGGGUUCGAGUCCCACCUUCGGUACCA